rnacentral:rRNA from 1 species
GAUGAACGCUGGCGGCGUGCCUAAUACAUGCAAGUCGAGCGAACAGACGAGACUGCUUGCAGUCUCUAGCGUCGGCGGCGGACGGAUGACUAACGAGUGUGCCACCUACCUAUAGGUCACGGCUAACAUCGGGAGACCAUACCUAAUACGUGAUGAUGUUUAACUUCGCAUGUAGUAAUAGUGCAAGACAGUUGUGGUGUCUCGUAUAGAUUGACCCGCGGUGGAUUAGCUAGUUGGUGAGGUAACGGCUCACCAAGGCGACGAUACAUAGCCGACCUGAGAGGGUGAUCGGCCACACUGGAACUGAGACACGGUCCAGACUCCUACGGGAGGCAGCAGUAGGGAAUCUUGGGCAAUGGGCGAAAGUCUGACGGAGCCAUGCCGCGUGUGUGAAGAAGGUCUUCGGAUCGUAAAGCUCUUUUGUAUGGGAAGAACAGCUGUGAGAGAAAAUGAAGCUGUCUUGACGUUACCUACCGAAAAAGCACCGGCUAACUACGUG